rnacentral:lncRNA from 1 species
GCCUGCCUCAGCUUCCCAAAGUGCUGGGAUUACAGGUGUGAGCCACCGUGCCUGGCCUGGACAUUCAAGAGAUUUCUAACUUUUCACUUUUAUCAGGAAAACUCUAAUGAUCCUCUCUCUACAUAACCUGGGCCAGUUUCACUGAGGCUUUCCUCUGGCCAGCUCACUGGAUGUGCCUCGCCAGGCACCAUCCUCUCCAGCAGGCCUUCCUGCCUUCCUAAAUACCUUCUUUGAGGUUUGUGAACUGAGAUUUUUGAAGGUAGAGUUUCAUCUUCAAUUGCCUAGCAUAGGGUCCAGAAUGCAUCAGAACGUAACAGGAGCUCAAGAAA